AGUCACAAGCUCUUAAGCAACUACAGGUCAACGCUUGAGACCGUUUUGGAUUUCUGUUAGCACUUGUUUCUGUUGCCCAAGAAGAUCCUUUCCAAGACUUCAGCAGGCAUACUGGCUUCGGGAAAAUUCAGAAACUCAGUGACCUUGUUUGGAAAUGACAGCCCACAUUUUCCUGUGGUCAGCCCAUUCUUAAUGGGCGCAUCAUCUUGGAGCCAUGAGAGAUCUGAAACUAGACAAUGUCCUGUUGGACCACGAGGGUCACUGUAAACUGGCAGACUUCGGAAUGUGCAAGGAGGGGAUUUGCAAUGGUGUCACCACGGCCACAUUCUGUGGCACGCCAGACUAUAUCGCUCCAGAGAUCCUCCAGGAAAUGCUGUACGGGCCUGCAGUAGACUGGUGGGCAAUGGGCGUGUUGCUCUAUGAGAUGCUCUGUGGUCACGCGCCUUUUGAGGCAGAGAACGAAGAUGACCUCUUUGAGGCCAUACUGAAUGAUGAGGUGGUCUACCCUACCUGGCUCCAUGAAGAUGCCACAGGGAUCCUAAAAUCUUUCAUGACCAAGAACCCCACCAUGCGCUUGGGCAGCCUGACUCAGGGAGGCGAGCAUGCCAUCUUGAGACAUCCUUUUUUUAAGGAAAUCGACUGGGCCCAGCUGAACCAUCGCCAAAUAGAACCACCUUUCAGACCCAGAAUC
rnacentral:sRNA from 1 species